UACGGAGGGUGCAAGCGUUGUUCGGAAUCAUUGGGCGUAAAGCGCGUGUAGGCGGCUUGGCAAGUCAGUUGUGAAAGCCCGGGGCCCAACCCCGGAAUUGCAUCUGAAACUGCCUGGCUAGAGUCCCGGAGUGGAAGGCAGAAUUCCCGGUGUAGGGGUGAAAUCCGUAGAUAUCGGGAGGAAUACCAGCGGCGAAGGCGGCCUUCUGGACGGUGACUGACGCUGAGACGCGAAAGCGUGGGGAGCAAACAGG
rnacentral:rRNA from 1 species